rnacentral:rRNA from 1 species
UACGUAGGUGGCGAGCGUUGUCCGGAUUUACUGGGCGUAAAGGGAGCGUAGGCGGACUUUUAAGUGAGAUGUGAAAUACUCGGGCUCAGCUUGAGUGCUGCAUUUCAAACUGGAAGUCUAGAGUGCAGGAGAGGAGAAUGGAAUUCCUAGUGUAGCGGUGAAAUGCGUAGAUAUACGGAGGAACACCAGUGGCGAAGGCGGCCUGCUGGACAAUAACUGACGCUGAGGCGCGAAAGCGUGGGGAGCAAACAGG